UCUAAUGUGGCAGAAUAAUGCAUUGAAUUUAAGCUUCAAUAAUAAAGAUUUUUUCUUUCUUUAGAA
rnacentral:tRNA from 1 species